rnacentral:rRNA from 1 species
GUAGGUGGCAAGCGUUGUCCGGAAUUAUUGGGCGUAAAGCGCGCGCAGGCGGUUCUUUAAGUCUGAUGUGAAAGCCCACGGCUCAACCGUGGAGGGUCACUGGAAACUGGAGAACUUGAGUACAGAAGAGGAAAGCGGAAUUCCACGUGUAGCGGUGAAAUGCGUAGAGAUGUGGAGGAACACCAGUGGCGAAGGCGGCUUUCCGGUCUGUAACUGACGCUGAGGCGCGAAAGCGUGGGGAGCAAACAGGAUUAGAUACCCUGGUAGUCCACGCCGUAAACGAUGAGUGCUAAGUGUUAGGGGGGUUUUCCGCCCCCCUUAGUGCUGCAGCUAACGCAUUAAGCACUCCGCCUGGGAGUACGGCCGCAAGGCUG